AUAGAGUCGUCCAUCAUGGACUUAAAACAAACACCGUGAAUUUCGAAUUUCAUUUAUUUUACAAGUAAAUUUCCCCACACAUGUCUGUUUUAAGUCCAUGAUGGACGACUCUAUACAAGAAUUUCCCAUUUGGGAAUAAACUCUUCUAAUUUCCUUGGAAAUUUAUUUCAUGUUAUGGCUCUUUAGCCUAUUUGGGAAUACAGUUGCAACCUAUACCCUUUUUUAAAGAAAAAUUAAGUGAGAGGGCAUUACGUACUGCAUUUAACAGCUCCUAGUUUGCAAGCCUGUUGCCAAGCUCUUCGCCACAUACCUUAAUCAAGCCACUAUCUUCUGCCAUUUUAAGUUUCUUAUUCAGCAUGGUCUUGCAUUCAUCAUCUCUGUCCUCUAAAACCCGCAUGAAUUCAACCUGUUUCUGAAAUGUAUCAAAUUCGUCAGAGCUCAGAGAACCAUCACUAUUUGCAUCAAGGAGCUGCAUCAUCUCCCUUGCAUCUUCCCCUGGGGCACCAAGCUCUUCCAUCACUUCCAUAAGUUCCUCAAUGCUGAUCUGGCCAUCACCAUUCUUGUCCAAAAGACGAAAUACUCUAUCUCUCUGGUCAAUCUCAAUACCUUUAGCGGAUGGAAGAUCCCUAAGACGCAAUGCUGCAAGUUCAGCAGCUGCCAUCAUUAUAGCCUUGAGCCGCUUUGCCUCUUCUGGAUCAGUAAGACCACCCUUGUAUAAUGAAUGUGAUGCUGUUCCAUCAACUGCCAGCAGGUCCAUCUCCAUAGUCCUUAUUUGAAUUUCCAUCAGUGGUCUAGACUUGCCAUUGUCACUCACAUCAACUGCCAUAUGCAAGCUCCUAUAUCCAUUGGCUUUGGGCCUGGCAAUAUAGUCUUUUGUUCUGUGUGGCAUUUCUUUCCACAAAGAUCGGAUAAUUUCACGUGUCCUGUAGCAUGCCUUUUCACCUAAUUCUGACACAUUUUCUGUAGACCUGGGAUUGAGUAUGACUCGUAAACCUAGAACAUCAUUUACUUCCUCUGGCUUGCGACCAUCUUUCAAGAGCUUCUUCAUUGUGCUGA
rnacentral:misc_RNA from 1 species